UACGGAGGGAGCUAGCGUUGUUCGGAAUUACUGGGCGUAAAGCGCACGUAGGCGGCCAUUCAAGUCAGAGGUGAAAGCCCAGGGCUCAACCUUGGAACUGCCUUUGAAACUAGAUGGCUAGAAUUCUGGAGAGGUCAGUGGAAUUCCGAGUGUAGAGGUGAAAUUCGUAGAUAUUCGGAAGAACACCAGUGGCGAAGGCGACUGACUGGACAGAUAUUGACGCUGAGGUGCGAAAGCGUGGGGAGCAAACAGG
rnacentral:rRNA from 1 species